UCUCUUGCUUCUGCAGUAGGUUCUUUUUUUACAGCCACGACGGUUGUGUAAAAAGUUAAACGGGAAGUCGGUGCGCGUUGCCAAGACAGGGCACGCUAUUCCGACACUGCCCCCGCAACGGUAAAUAAGAUUGUUUGGCAUUAGGCCACUGUGCAUCUGUGUAACAGCAACCGCAUGGGAAGGCGUCAAAUAGAGUGACUCGAUUUUUCGGUUGCUCACUUAUGAGUCCGGAGACCGGCCUAUCGCAAUGCAGACAA
rnacentral:ncRNA from 2 species